GACGAACGCUGGCGGCGUGCUUAACACAUGCAAGUCGAACGGAAAGGCCCUGCUUUUGUGGGGUUCUCGAGGGGCGAACGGGUGAGUAACACGUGAGUAACCUGCCCUUGACUUUGGGAGAACUUCAGGAAACUGGGGCUAAUACCGUGUAGGAUAUCCUGCUGCAUGGUGGGGGUUGGAAAGUCUCGGCGGUUGGGGAUGGACGCGCGGCUGAUCAGCUUGUUGGUGGGGUAGUGGCUGACCAAGGCUUGGGCGGAUAGCCCGCCUGGGAGGGUGGACGGCGUCCAUAGGACUGCGGUACGGCCCAGAGUCCUACGGUAGGCAGAAGUGGGGAGUCUUGCACAGUGGGCGGGCGCCUGAUGAAGCAGCGCCGCGUGCGGGAUGCCGGCCUUCGGGUUAUGAACCGCUUUCGCUUGUGACGAAGCGUGAGUGACGGUAACGAGUGAAGAAGCACCGGCUAACUACGUG
rnacentral:rRNA from 1 species